rnacentral:rRNA from 1 species
UACGAAGGGGGCUAGCGUUGUUCGGAAUUACUGGGCGUAAAGCGCACGUAGGCGGAUAUUUAAGUCAGGGGUGAAAUCCCAGAGCUCAACUCUGGAACUGCCUUUGAUACUGGGUAUCUUGAGUAUGGAAGAGGUAAGUGGAAUUGCGAGUGUAGCGGUGAAAUGCGUAGAUAUUGGGAGGAACACCAGUGGCGAAGGCGGCUCACUGGACCGGUACUGACGCUGAGGCGCGAAAGCGUGGGGAGCAAACGGG